rnacentral:tRNA from 1 species
CCCGAUAUGGUGUAAUGGUAACAUUCCCUCGCCUGUAUAGAGGGAGCUUGGGGUUCGAUUCCUCGUAUCGGAA